UGGGGAAUAUUGCACAAUGGGCGCAAGCCUGAUGCAGCCAUGCCGCGUGUGUGAAGAAGGCCUUCGGGUUGUAAAGCACUUUCAGCGAGGAGGAAGGUGGUGAGCUUAAUACGCUCAUCAAUUGACGUUACUCGCAGAAGAAGCACCGGCUAACUCCGUGCCAGCAGCCGCGGUAAUACGGAGGGUGCAAGCGUUAAUCGGAAUUACUGGGCGUAAAGCGCACGCAGGCGGUUUGUUAAGUCAGAUGUGAAAUCCCCGGGCUCAACCUGGGAACUGCAUUUGAAACUGGCAAGCUAGAGUCUCGUAGAGGGGGGUAGAAUUCCAGGUGUAGCGGUGAAAUGCGUAGAGAUCUGGAGGAAUACCGGUGGCGAAGGCGGCCCCCUGGACGAAGACUGACGCUCAGGUGCGAAAGCGUGGGGCAGCAAACAGGAUUAGAUACCCUGGUAGUCCACGCUGUAAACGAUGUCGAUUUGGAGGUUGUGCCCUUGAGGCGUGGCUUCCGGAGCUAACGCGUUAAAUCGACCGCCUGGGGAGUACGGUCGCAAGGUUAAAACUCAAAUGAAUUG
rnacentral:rRNA from 1 species